GACGAACGCUGGCGGCGUGCUUAACACAUGCAAGUCGAACGGAAAGGCCCUGCUUUUGUGGGGUGCUCGAGUGGCGAACGGGUGAGUAACACGUGAGUAACCUGCCCUUGACUUCGGGAUAACUUCAGGAAACUGGGGCUAAUACCGGAUAGGAGCUCCUGCUGCAUGGUGGGGGUUGGAAAGUUUCGGCGGUUGGGGAUGGACUCGCGGCUUAUCAGCUUGUUGGUGGGGUAGUGGCUUACCAAGGCUUUGACGGGUAGCCGGCCUGAGAGGGUGACCGGCCACAUUGGGACUGAGAUACGGCCCAGACUCCUACGGGAGGCAGCAGUGGGGAAGAUUGCACAAUGGGAGGAAGCCUGAUGCAGCAACGCCGCGUGCGGGAUGACGGCCUUCGGGUUGUAAACCGCUUUCGCCUGUGACGAAGCGUGAGUGACGGUAAUGGGUAAAGAAGCACCGGCUAACUACGUG
rnacentral:rRNA from 1 species